rnacentral:rRNA from 1 species
UACGGAGGGGGCUAGCGUUGUUCGGAAUCACUGGGCGUAAAGCGCACGUAGGCGGCUUUGUAAGUUAGAGGUGAAAGCCUGGUGCUCAACACCAGAACUGCCUUUAAGACUGCAUCGCUUGAACGUCGGAGAGGUGAGUGGAAUUCCGAGUGUAGAGGUGAAAUUCGUAGAUAUUCGGAAGAACACCAGUGGCGAAGGCGGCUCACUGGACGACUGUUGACGCUGAGGUGCGAAAGCGUGGGGAGCAAACAGGG